AACGAACGCUGGCGGCAGGCCUAACACAUGCAAGUCGAGCGCGCCUUCGGGUGAGCGGCGGACGGGUGAGUAACGCGUGGGAAUAUGCCCUUCUCUACGGAAUAGUCCUGUGAAACUGGGGGUAAUACCGUAUACGCCCUUUGGGGGAAAGAUUUAUCGGGGAAGGAUUAGCCCGCGUUGGAUUAGGUAGUUGGUUGGGUAAUGGCCUACCAAGCCGACUAUCCAUAGCUGGUUUGAGAGGAUGAUCAGCCACACUGGGACUGAGACACGGCCCAGAAUCCUACGGGAGGCAGCAGUGGGGAAUCUUAGACAAUGGCGGCAAUCCUGAUGUAGCCAGGACGCGUGAGUGAUGAAGGCCUUAGGGUUGUAAAGCGCUUUCAGCUGGGAAGAUAAUGACGGUACCAGCAGAAGAAGCCCCGGCUAACUCCGUG
rnacentral:rRNA from 1 species